AGUCCCAGGGUGAAGGGAGGCAGCUUCAGUCCUGGGGCCAACAGCACAUCCGAGGAAAUCAGGGCCCCUGGAACACAGCCUGCAGGACUGGGGGCACAUCUGCUGCCCAAUCCAGAGCUUGACUGCUCCUGGAGAGAAAGGAUAACAAACAGCACUUCCCCACGGCAGAUGCUUCACAGUCCAAGACUCGGGGCCUUGAAUGAUCCAGGAAGGCCACUGAGAUUUCCACUUUAUCUACUGUUCCUUGUGCACAUACUUACCAUAAAUCAAAACAGCCUCUGUGUUGUCAUCCUUCAAUAUUCAACACAUCACAUUGGAGUUGCCCUUUCCCUACAGAAUAUAAGCUCUGGGUCUGGGGGCUAAUGGUGUGGGGAUCCACCAUCUUGUCUUGCCACCACCUGAGACACAGACGUGGCUUCUAUUCGUAUGUCCCUAUUAACUGUUUUUCUCUGAGAA
rnacentral:antisense_RNA from 1 species